rnacentral:lncRNA from 1 species
UUGGGUUGAUUAUUUGUUUGCUAUAGAUUAUAGAAUAAAAAUUUGAUGAUUAAACGUACUCUAACUAACGUUUUCAAAAUCAAAACGGAGGUCAAAUUAGUUAGACCAUUGGUUGGUGUGGUUCAAUUAAAUGAAUCAUUAAAAGAUAUAAAAAUAAAAAUAUUUUGAAAAAUAAUUGAUUUUUAACCUAGUUCUAAACCGCCCAUACUGG